UACGUAGGGCGCAAGCGUUGUCCGGAAUUAUUGGGCGUAAAGCGCGCGCAGGUGGUGGAUUAAGUUGUGGGUAAAAGGCAAUGGCUCAACCAUUGUAAGCCUGCAAAACUGGUUCACUUGAGUGCAGGAGAGGGGAGUGGAAUUCCCGGUGUAGCGGUGGAAUGCGUAGAGAUCGGGAGGAACACCAGUGGCGAAGGCGACUCUCUGGCCUGUAACUGACACUGAGGCGCGAAAGCGUGGGGAGCGAACAGG
rnacentral:rRNA from 1 species